rnacentral:rRNA from 1 species
GACGAACGCUGGCGGCGUGCUUAACACAUGCAAGUCGAACGGAAAGGCCCUGCGUGUGUGGGGUGCUCGAGUGGCGAACGGGUGAGUAACACGUGAGUAACCUGCCCUUGACUUUGGGAUAACUUCAGGAAACUGGGGCUAAUCUCGUAUAGCAGCUCCUGCUGCAUGGUGGGGGUUGGAAAGUCUCGGCGGUUGGGGCUGGAUGAGCGGCUUAACAGCUUGUUGGUGGGGUAGUCGCUGACCAACGGUUUGACGGGUAGCCGGCCUGAGAGGGUGGACGGCGACAUUAGGACUGCGGUACGGCCCAGACUGCAACGGGGGGCAACAGUGGGGAGUCUUGCCCAAUCAGCGGACGUCUGAUGCGACGACGCCCCGUGCGGGAUGCCGGCCUUCGGGUUGUAAACCGCUUUCGCCUGUGACGCAGCUUGAGUGACGGUAAUGGGUGAAGAAGCACCGGCUAACUACGUG